rnacentral:rRNA from 1 species
AAAGGGUGCGUAGGCGGAAGGAUAAGUCAGUGGUGAAAUCUUGCGGCUUAACCGUAAAAUGGCCAUUGAUACUGUUUUUCUUGAGUGUGGUUGAGGUAGGCGGAAUGAGUAAUGUAGCGGUGAAAUGCUUAGAUAUUACUCAGAACACCGAUUGCGUAGGCAGCUUACUAAGCCAUUACUGACGCUGAUGCACGAAAGCGUGGGUAGCAAACAGGAUUAGAUACCCUGGUAGUCCACGCAGUAAACGUUGAUUACUCGUUGUUGGCAAUACAUCGUCAGCGACUGAGCAAAAGCAUUAAGUAAUCCACCUGGGGAGUACGUCAGCAAUGAUGAAACUCAAAGGAAUUGACGGGGGCCCGCACAAGCGGAGGAACAUGUGGUUUAAUUCGAUGAUACGCGAGGAACCUUACCUGGGCUUAAAUGUUAAGUGCUAUACCGGGAGACCGGUUUUUCCUUCGGGACACUUUACAAGGUGCUGCAUGGUUGUCGUCAGCUCGUGCCGUGAGGUGUCGGGUUAAGUCCCAUAACGAGCGCAACCCCUAUUGCCAGUUGCCAGCACAUCAUGGUGGGAACUCUGGUAAAACUGCCGGUGCAAACCGCGAGGAAGGUGGGGAUGACGUCAAAUCAGCACGGCCCUUAUGUCCAGGGCUACACACGUGUUACAAUGGUCGGUACAACAGGAAGCUAUUCCGCGAGGAACCGCUAAUCCCGAAAGCCGAUCUUAGUUCGGAUCGGAGUCUGCAAUUCGACUCCGUGAAGCUGGAUUCGCUAGUAAUCGCAGAUCAGCCAUGCUGCGGUGAAUAUGUUCCCGGGCAUUGUACACACCGCCCGUCAAGCCAUGGAAGCCGGGGGUGCCUGAAGUCCGUAACCGA